UUGAACGCUGGCGGCAUGCCUUACCCAUGCCCGUCGAACGGCAGCACGGGUGCUUGCACCUGGUGGCGAGUGGCGAACGGGUGAGUAAUACAUCGGAACAUGUCCUGUAGUGGGGGAUAGCCCGGCGAAAGCCGGAUUAAUACCGCAUACGAUCUACGGAUGAAAGCGGGGGACCUUCGGGCCUCGCGCUAUAGGGUUGGCCGAUGGCUGAUUAGCUAGUUGGUGGGGUAAAGGCCUACCAAGGCGACGAUCAGUAGCUGGUCUGAGAGGACGACCAGCCACACUGGGACUGAGACACGGCCCAGACUCCUACGGGAGGCAGCAGUGGGGAAUUUUGGACAAUGGGCGAAAGCCUGAUCCAGCAAUGCCGCGUGUGUGAAGAAGGCCUUCGGGUUGUAAAGCACUUUUGUCCGGAAAGAAAUCCUUGGCCCUAAUACGGUCGGGGGAUGACGGUACCGGAAGAAUAAGCACCGGCUAACUACGUG
rnacentral:rRNA from 1 species